UUUUUCAUUUUCCCCUAAUUUUGAAAAUCAAACCCUAGUUUUCACUUUUCACUCCCACGAUUGUCAUCUCACCACCAUUUGUUACUGUCAUUGUCGUUUCUUCAACAAUUGCUCUGUUUUCAAGUAGCAUGGAUAUCGACAUACCGAUUGUGCUCAUGUCUAUGGGAAUAAGAAAGACAUUGGUUCUGUUCUGAAAAAGCUGUUGGAAGAUGGUGUCGUGAAGCGUGAAGAUCUUUGGAUCACCUCUAAGCUCUGCUAAGCCAUGAUUUUUCUUUAGGAAGAGGAGAUAAACUGACACUGCCAACUUCACUUUGCGUUGUGACAUGUGCCAAACUGGAAUGGUCGGCCAGAAGGUCAUUUUUCAUUUCUGCAGCUCAUGGUCAAUGGAGCAUGCACAAGCAACAUGCCAUGUGAACUUGCAAGAAUAUAGAUGAUAGAAAAAGUUGGGCCAAACUCUCAAAUAAUAUGGAUAAUGGAACUAGUUCGGGGUGAACUCUAUUAUGCAAGCCCCUUUUUGGAAAUCAACAAUUCAUCAGGGAACCAUCAACCAGGGAAAGACACGUUGCAUGGGAGAUGUUACGUAGAUUAGCUAGAAGUAGUCAUCAGGCUUGGCUUUUGUUCGGGUCAUUUUAAUGAGAUAACGUGGGAUGGUGAAAAGAAGGGUGGUGGCAUGAGACCGACGUGGCAAAUAGAGGCUUUUCGAACAGUAUUGGAAGACUAUUGGAAGACUCAAAGCUCCACGAUUUGGGUUUUCUAGGGCCUCAGUACACAUGGGGGAGGGGUAAGACAGUGGCAAACGGUAUAUGAGAGAGGCUGGAUAGGGCAGUGGCAAACAAAGCAUGGAUGGAAGAGUUCCCGAAUUAUCUGGUACGACAUUUAGUUUGUUCUGUCUCCGACCACUAUCCGAUCAUGGUUGACACAGAAGGGGCCAAGUUGGUAAGGCGGGGCUGUCUAGAAGGAAAAAGAAGGGUUUUGAAGCCAUGUGGAUCACAAGACCCAAAAUAAAAUUAACAAUGGCAGAGAGCUGGGCGGACGUGAUGAGCAGAAAAUUGAAGAUAAAAACUACAGGAAACACGUGACAAGUUUAGUGCAUGAAGUAAAGAAAAAUUUUAUGAUAAAAUAGAUCAGACAAAAAAAAAGAACACCAAAAGGUACAACAGCAGAUGAUGAAUGAAGCAAGGCUGUUAAAGGAGAAGGAGCUUAAAUCGCAUUUAAACAGUUUGCUGAAGCAAGAGGAAUUGUUUUGGAAGCAAAAAGCUCGGGUAAGCUGGCUCAAGGAAGGGGACAACAACAUACGUUUCUUCCAUGCACAGGCGUCCCAGAGAAGAAGAGUCAAUUGAAUAUAAGGCGUGGAUGAUGAAGAUGGGAUUUGGCAUGAGGGAGAGCUGAAUGUGUCAGAACAAGGGACAAGCUAUUUUAAUAAUUUCUACAAAUCACAAGGACCAUCUGACCUAGCUCAAAUCUUGGAAAUUAACAAUAUCUCCUUGCAUCAUAAAUGAGAUGAACAAUUUUCUCCUAUUAGAGUUCGCAACUGUGGAGGUCUAUGGUGCCGUUAAACAGAUACACCCAAAUAAAGCCCUUGGACUGAACGGUACGUCUGCUUUGUUUUAUUAGAAAUUUUAGCAAAUUAUAGGACCUGAUGUUGAAUUUUGCUUACAUAUGCUUAAUAGGAAUGGUAACUUGGAUGAUAUUAAUGACACUCGUAUUGUUCUCAUCCCCAAAAUCAGUAAUCGUAGGAGAAUGACCCAAUAUCGACUAAUUUUGUGUUAUGUCCUAUAUAAAUUGUUGCCAAGACACUGGCCAAUAGGAUGAAACAAGUUCUGCUUAUUUGUAAAGUGAAAAUCAAAGUACUUUUGUCCCAGGUUGUUUGAUUUCCGAUAAUGCCAUUAUUGCAUAUGAGCUCUUACAUAGUAUGAAGUAGAAGAGGAAAGUUAGGGAUGGGUGGGUAGCCUUUAAGUUAGACAUGAGCAAAGCUUACGAUUGGGUGAAAUGGCACUGUCUCAAUGUUAUUAUGGAAAAUUAGGCCUCAAUGCUAGAUGGAGAUCAAUUAUAAUGAGUUGCACCACAUUUGUUACUUAUAAAGUGGUUGUUAAUGGACAUGUGACUGACAUAAUUUCUCCAAGAAGAGGUCUCCAGCAAGGGGACCCCUUCUUACCUUGUUCGUGAUAUGUAUAGAGGGACUCUUGAUGCUCUUAUCUAAGUAUCUGUGGGAUUGC